AUUGAACGCUGGCGGCAGGCUUAACACAUGCAAGUCGAACGAGUGGCGGACGGGUGAGUAAUGCUUGGGAAUCUGCCUUCUGGAGGGGGAUAACGACUGGAAACUGUCGCUAAUACCGCGUACCAUAGGAUGAGCCCAAGUGGGAUUAGGUAGUUGGUGGGGUAAUGGCCUACCAAGCCGACGAUCCCUAGCUGGUCUGAGAGGAUGACCAGCCACACCGGGACGGAGACACGGCCCGGACUCUGACGGGAGGCAGCAGUGGGGAAUAUUGCGCAAUGGGGGCAACCCGGACGCAGCCAUGCCGCGUGAAUGAAGAAGGCCUUCGGGUUGUAAAGGUCUUUCGGUGACGAGGCGUUAAUCGCAGAAGAAGCACCGGCUAACUCCGUGCCAGCCGCCGCGGUAAUUC
rnacentral:rRNA from 1 species